ensembl:lncRNA
AUGUCCGCCUCCGGAGGUGGAGGCCAGGCCCCGGGUGGCCAGGAGAGCCCCAUGGAUGAGGCGGGGGCCCCGGCGGCCGGAGGGGGCAACGAGGUGGCCGGCGGCGAGGCGGGGGCCGGCAGUGAUGGAGUAGCCAGGGGCGAUGGGGUGGCCGCUGGACAUGGAGCGGCUGAUGGCGAUGGGAUGGCCGGAGACGAAGCGGUCGGUGGCGACGGGGUGGCCGGAGACAGAGAACGGGUGGCUGGCGACGGAGAGGCAGUGGCCGGAGACGGAGACUGGGAGGCCGGAGACGAGGACAGAGUGGCCGGCAGAGAUCGGGUGGGCGGAGGAGGAGUGGCCGGCGGAGGAGGAGUGGCCGGCGGAGGAUGGGUGGCCGGCGGAGACGGAGACGGAGGGGCCGGAGGCGGAGACGAGGACAGAGUGGCCGGCGGGGAUCGGGUGGGCGGAGGAGGAGUGGCCGGCGGAGGAGGAGUGGCCGGCGGAGGAUGGGUGGCCGGAGAUGGAGACUGGGAGGCCGGAGACGAGGACAGAGUGGCCGGCGGAGACGAGGACAGAGUGGCCGGCGGGGAUUGGGCGGGUGGGGGUGGAGUGGCCGGCAGAGACUGGGCGGCCGGAGGUGGAGACGGAGCGGCCGGCGGAAACUGGGGGGCCGGAGAUGGAGAGGCCGGCGGAGACGGGGUGGCCGGGAACGAAGUGGCCGGCGGAGACGGGGUGGUCGGAGCAGGAGUGGCCGGCGGAGACGAGGUGGCCAGAGGUGGAGACGGAGGGGCCGGAGGCGGAGGUGGAGGCGGAGACGGAGACGGAGGGGCCGGAGGCGGAGACGUGGUGGCCAUGGGCAACAGAGUGGCCGGAGGCGGAGUGGCCGGAGGCGGAGACGUGAUGGCCAUGGGCGACAGAGAGGCCGGCGGCGGAGACGCAGCGGCCGAUGGCGGAGACCGAGUGGCUGGAAUCGGAGUGGCCGGUGGUGGAGACGGAGCGGCCGAUGGCGGAGACCGAGUGGCUGGAAUCGGAGUGGCCGGUGGUGGAGACGGAGCAGCCGAUGGCGGAGACCGAGCAGCCGGUGGCGGAGACGGAGCGGCCGAUGGCGGAGACGGAGUGGCCCGUGGUGGAGACAUGAUGGCCAUGGGCAACAGAGUGGCCGGCGGUGGAGACGGAGCGGCCGAUGGCGAUGGCGGAGACGGAGCGGCCGGUGGCGGAGACGGAGCGGCCGGGGACUCCGGGCCCCACCCUGCCGAGGCUGCCGUUUUGGCCGCGCCUCCGGAAGGCCUCGAGGAGGAGGCGGUGGGCCCCGAGGGCGGGAACGCCUUCGAGGCUGGCGAGGACUCGGACAUCGGGCCGGCAGACGAGGACGAGGCGGAAGAGCCCGAGGCCGCCGGGGACGUAAUUGUGGACGCCCACCAUUUCCCAAUGCGGCGACCGCGGCCCACGAGGCCCAGGGCUCGUCGUCAUCGUCGUCAUCGUCGUCGUCGUCGUCGUCGUCGGAGGCUACCUGGGAGACCGCGGAGGAGCCUGACAAGGAGGAGCCGGCGGCCACAGAGGGAACAACAAACCAUCAGCAGGAAAACUCUGAUCAGGAGGGGCAAGUCUCGGAGAGCGGGGAAGAAGAGACGUUUAACAAACAACAAGAAGGAUCUCACUGAAAAGCAUUUGGACCCACCACAGAACAGGCCCCAAAAAUCCAGCUGGGAGGAACAAAACGAGAUGAAGAAGAAAGAACCUGUUCAUUGUUUCUGGUUUCUCAUUUUCUAG